AAAGAAAACUCCCUCACCCUCUCACCCCACGAACCCUAGCGCUCCCUUUCCCUCACGCGCUCCCUCUCCCCUCGUCUCCCACAUCGCCGCCGCCACCCCGCCGAUCCCAUCCCUCCCUGAUUCAGAUCCAACCCCGCCGCCCGCGCCCGCGCGCCACCACCCGCUCCUCCUCGCCUCCCGGAGGACGUCCGCCGCUCUUCCUCUGCCCGUCCCGGAGGCCUCAGUCGGCGCCCCCCACCGCAGGGCCGCCGCGCUCGUCCCUCCCGCCGCAGGGGACAACAUCUGGCAGCGCCUGCGCCCGCAGCUGCCGGCCAACUACUUCGGCAACGCCAUCGUGCGGGACCUCGUGAUGGUGCGCGUGGGGGACGUGAUGUCGCAGCCGCUGGGGUUCGUGGCGGAGCGGAUCAAGCGCGCGGUGGCGCGAGUGGACGACGCGUUCGUGUGCUCCGUCAUCGACUACCUGGAGCUGGAGUCUAUUAGUCCCCCCUUCGUCUCAAGCACGUGGCCAUGGCUGCCUGCCUCUUCGGUCGCUGGCCACGGGGCUUCUCCAGCCGGCGCGUCCUCUCAGCGAGCGGAUCUUGCACCUCACGCCGAUGGUCUCCGUCGUCCUGGCGGAGGACUACUACCUUCAGGGCCACUAUGGGUUUCUGAGUGCGCCUAUGGACCUCGUACCAACAGGGUCACCAUCUUUGGGCGAGGUGCUUCACGAGGCUGCCAAGAGGUUUUUUGCAUCUGUAUUUCCCGACGAGCUCCGCUUGGCCUUGCCAUCGUUCCUUGAUGAGUGAGCAAACAUGGCACCAUCCAUGAGUCUUGCAGCGAAAGGUCUGCUCCCCUUUGGAGCGCUCCCCUCAAGCGGCGUCGCGCAGAGGCCGGUGUCUGUGACCGCCUCACCAGAGCACAAGACGAGCGAUUAUAAGAGGAAGCUCCUGACCCUGUUUUUGGUGCGAGACAGAGACACGCCACCAUGCAAUGAUUCUUCUUCCACUCGCAGGCCUCCCACUCCAGUAACUCCUUUUCUGUCGUCGUCGCCGCUGCCAUAGUUGGGUUCGAGUCGUCUCCGGCGCUGCUAAAGAUCACCGUUGGCACUAUAAUCCACAGGGUGACAGAGGAAGCCAUGUUGCAGUUUUGUUUGUUGCCAGCCCUGACUUCGGUCGUCCAGCGAGUCUGGCAUGUUGUUCAUCUGACUACGGUCGUCCAUCGAGUCUGUCAUGUUGUUCAUCUGACUACGGUCGUCUAGCGAGUCUGGCAUGUUGUCAUUUCUUGUAAAGCAGUACUGUAUUACACUUGUAGAACUCGUUACACUUGUAGAGCUUGAAAGUACUGUAUUACACAUGGUCAUGUAUUGGCACGUAUAGAGCUUGUUAUUGUUACUGGUUGAAAUAUGAAGAAUAUGAGCCUGAUUGAUGGGACCCACUUACUAGAACAUGAAAAAUGGGA